UUGGUUCUUAAAGUGGCGAAAGUAGUACAUUUAAAAUAUCUACUACAGAAACAUUUAUUGACGAAUCUACUUGAAGAAAAGCAACAAAAGUAUCUUCGGUCAUUUAGAGCAACGGGAGAGUAUUAAAACUUCUGGUAUUAUAAUAUUAUACAGAUCAGGAAUCGAUUUUUAUUAACGUGUAGGACUUGCUAUAUACGUCUAGAACACAUUAAUCAACGCGACGGGGAAGCAUUUUAAACAUAUUUUUAAUCGGAAUUGGAAGCAUCGCGUCUAAAACCUCUG